rnacentral:rRNA from 1 species
UCGUAGUUGGAUUCUGAUCUUUGCCAAUGGUUGUGUCGCCGCGUGCGAGGCGCCUUGCGCAGAGGUCAACAUAUGUCACGAGCCAGUGUGAUCUAUUCAUUUAGGUCCACUGGGUAAUGACUCGUUUACUUUGAGAAAAUUAGAGUGUUCAAAGCAGGCAUUUGCCUUGAAUAUGUUAGCAUGGAAUAAUAGCAUAGGACUUCGGUUCUAUUUGUUGGUUGUUCGAGAACUGGAGUAAUGAUUGAUAGGGACGGUUGGGGGCAUCCGUAUUCUCAAGCGAGAGGUGAAAUUCUUGGACCUUGGGAAGACGAACAGCUGCGAAAGCGUUUGCCUAGGACGUUCUCUUUAAUCAAGAACGAAAGUUGGGGGAUCGAAGACGAUCAGAUACCGUCGUAGUCUCAACUAUAAACUAUGCCCGGCUAGGGGAUCGGUGGGUCUUUGUCACGAG